UUUAGAGAUUUUGCACUGCCAGAACAAGAGCAUUACUGUGCAUGAAGUAGUCAAGAAGAAAAGCAAAAUUCAGCCUUGUCAAAGGAAAAUUAACCUCAUAAAUGUUUGUGAGUAAUAAAAAUAAUGUUAAAAUAAUUUACCAGAAAUAUUUUAUUUUUUUUUCAGAUGCCAGAAGCAUUACCUUACACUUGGAAAAGCAGAUAUUUUAAUUGUGUUAUGCCAUAUGGUCACUACAAGACUUUUCAGAAACAUUUUUCCAGAGCUGAUCUAAGUGUUAGAGCAAACAUUGACAGCUCAUGUUAUUAGGAAGGACAGAAGAAAGAUCUAAGAAUUAGGAAAGACUGUUGUGUACCGUGAAGGCAUCUCUGUGCUGAGCUGUCUCAUCUGAAAGAGGCUGACAGCAUAUGAAGGCAGAGAAGUAUCCUUUGAUGAGAAAAUGCAAAUCCCAAACAAAACAUUUGCAGAACCACUAAUCACCAUUUCCAUACAAUGAACAAUGAUAUGGGAUUUAUUACAGAAUGACUCAAAGGUAAGGCAGACUCCUUAUAAGAAAUCCAACAAAUAAUUUAUACACCCCCUCCACUUUCUACAGAGGGUAAUUUUUAUUUAUUACAGUUAGUGUCAGGACUCUCCCAGUGCUUAGUGGAACUGAGGUUUGAUCUCUUUGGUCUCAGCAAUGACUUGUGAGUUGUUUAAGGAGUUUCAUGGUUGAACAAAAAACUACUUUGGCAAAUAUUGUCAAAAGGAGUUUCUAAAUUUGGAAGAAGGUGUGGUGCUAUGAAUCUGGUAUUCAGAGAUGCUGGAAACCCCAGCUGUCAUUAGUUUUCAUGGAUUAGUUUUCAUGGUUGCGAAUUUAGGACUUUGAAAUGAGUGAACUGGCAAUGCAAAAGUAAACAAAAUCUUGGAGAGUUUGGGAAGUAUUUAUUUCAAAUUUUAUUUCUUUGAAUUUACUGUUACAGUUAUGACUACUUCAUUAAUUAAUUUUCACAAUAGCAUUUGAUAAA
rnacentral:lncRNA from 1 species